UGCAGCCUUGUCAAAUUCAGUGUUUCCUCCUCAGUAGACCGCACUGGCCAAAAUGGCUGCAACAGUAAAUCUUUAGUCCAUGAGCCCUGUUAUCUUGUAUAGUGGGUGCUGGGCAAAGAAGUGGCUAUAUACAAUU